UGAUGGUUCAGAUGAACAGGAGACCUCUGCCCGUCGCGUUUCACUCGGCACCCUCUGAUGCUUCCUCUGCAGUAACGGAGUACUGUGACCAUUUUUCAUGACUUGAACGUGUAGUAGACAUCUUGAUGCUUGAAAUGUUUUUUGUUAUUGUUUUGGUGAUUUAUUUAAUGACUGUUUUAAGACUCUGAUAACAGAUUUUACCACAUGCACAUGUACUAUGUAUUUUUCCUCUCAGAAGUACACUCCAGACAAGAACAUGGUAAACAGCAAAGUUGGUGUGGGGAGUUAAUUGAGUGACUUGGUGGCCACUUUUCCACGACAUGGCCACCUGGUGGUGGAGCAAGGGGGAAAAAAAUCACUUGGUAGUACUGUGGAUUUAGAGAAAUCAUUUGGACACUUUUUGAGGUCAUCAUUUUCCACUCCAAACUUGGUUAAACAGUGUAAGGUUAUUAUAAUUUGGUACUGAUGAGGUUUCUCUGUUGGAUCAGUGGGUGAUGGUUGUGGGUCUGACUCAUCAUUGCACAGUCAUGUUCUUAAGUAGCUGGACAGUGACACAGAUGUUUGUUUUUUCCCCCCAGUUUGCCUGUGUGCAUCACCACAAUGGAGUAGAAAUUAAACAUGUGCUUGUAGUGUCAUUGUUCAGCGUUAUUCAGUGAGGUUCAAGAAAAGUAAUGCAUUCCCCAUUUAGUAUUUUACAGCCAUUUAUAUACAUAAUCCCUCUAUUUUCAGAGGCCAUACAUAAUUGGACUAACAAGUUUGAUCCUAAAUACAAGGAUUAAAUCAUCACUUUUACAGCCAGUUUCUUUAAGACGGGUCAGGGGAUGGAUACAUCAACAUUUCCAAGUCACUGAAAAUGUCUUUUAUCGGUCAUUUAAAAAAAUACAAGUAGUGUUGUAAAUCUGUCUAUAGUAGGCCAUCUCAAAAAGUGAGUGACCAUGCAAGAAGAGGAUGAGAAGGAAGCUAACGAGAUACCCAUGACAUCUCUGAUGGUGCUGUGGGGUUUUUAUUGCUUAGGGUUGGGAAUUGAGAUUUUAUCAAUCAAUGCCAUUAUCGAUUCUGAUUAUUACUCUGAAUUCAUUAUCAAUUUUUGUUCUGUUGUGAUCAAUGUAAGGGGACAAAAAUGUAGACCUACACAGGUCAGUGCAGCUCUUUUCUUGUUUUGCUAGGUA